rnacentral:lncRNA from 1 species
GCACAAUCUUGGCUCACUGCAACCUCUGCCUCCCGGGUUCAAGCGAUUCUCCUGCCUCGGCCUCCCGAGUAGCUGGGAUUGCAGGUCCGUAUUGGAAGCCUUGACUCUGGCCCAGACAUUUCUGCUGUACCUCAUGUAGGAAGGGAAGAAAUGUCGGAGGUGGCCUUCUCAGACCCUGUGAAGUGAAAGUGUCUAUCCAUCCAAUGAAAGCGUCUACUCAGACCAAGAGGUAUUUUAGUUUCCUGACUCGAAGCAGGUGAGCCCAGGACCUGCCACACUGUGCCAGCCUCGCCCAAGCCACCCCCCAGCCAGGACGCGGUCUUUCCUGACUCAGCAGGCUGAGGCACCUGAGGCUUUCAUUUUAAUUAUGAACCACUUCAAAGCCUUUCUGGAAGCAGUCUCUGCAAUAACCAACCUGGGUUCUCUCCUAAUGUGGGGAUUGUCCUGGAGCCCAGGCCUUCCAAGGCUCCUCCGCCCGCCAACAUCACCUACCUCAUCUUCCUCUUCAGCACAUCCCCAACAUUGUCUAAGCGGUAACUCACCUGAGCAAAGCACUUGACACGGAUUCAUUCAUUUACUCCUCACAACAACCUGAUGAGCUCCCGGCGAGCGGCCCGAAGGAGAGCAGAGCACAGGCUCCACAGCCUCAGAGAACAGGCUCGAUUCUGGUCUCCCACUGCCAACUGUCAUCUGCGAUCAGCCUCAGAAGUCCACCUACCUUCACUGGGAUCUCAGAAGAAGCAGAAGGAAAUAAGAAGAUCCUGGCCGGGUGCUGUGGUUCCCACCUGUGGUCUCAGCACUGUGGGAGUGCUAUAGUCCUAGCUACUUGGAGGCUGAGGCAGGAGGAUCACUUGAGGCCAGGAGUUCAAGACCAGCCUGGGCAACAUAGUGAGACCCCAUCUUUAUUUAUAAAAAAAACAAAAACCCAAGAAGAUCCAAAGGCAUAAAAAUGGUCCAUUGCACCCAGGACCUCUCCCUGACCGCAGAUCCUUGGCACAAGCUGGCAGCCCUGGUCUUGGUUUUUCCUCUCCCAGCUCCUUGUCCCUGUCUCAGGCCCCUCCUUCUUAAAUGAGACCUUUAUUGCUUUUUUCCUCAUAGUCUCUGCCACUCCUCCCUCUGUCCCUGUCCUCAGGAGCUGUAAAACCAUGCCCCAAAGAGUUAAGGAAGCCAAUGACAGAAAUUCUUUUUUUUUUUUUUUUUUUGAGACGGAGUCUCUCUCUGUCGCCCAGGCUGGAGUGCAGUGGUGCAAUCUUGGCUCACCGCAACCUCCUCCUCCUGGGUUCAAGCAGUUCUCCUGUCUCAGCCUCCCAAGUAGCUAGGACUACAGGUGUGUGCCACCACGCCCGGCUAAUUUUUUUUGUAUUUUUAGUAGACACAGGGUUUUCCUUUGUUGGUCAGGCUGGUCUCGAACUCCUGACCUCAGGUGAUCCACCCGCCUCGGCCUCCCAAAGUGCUGGGAUUAUAGGCAUGAGCCACCGCGCCUGGCUAACAGAAAUUCUUGAGUUUGCAGAAUGGAGGUUAAAAAAAGAAACAACUACCGGCCGGGCGUGGUGGCUCACGCCAUGCCUGUAAUCCUAGCACCUUAGGAGGCUGAGGUGGGUGGAUCACCUGAGGUCAGGAGUUCAAGACCAGCCUGGCCAACAUGGUGAAACCCCGUCUCUACUAAAAAUACAAAAAUUAGUCAGGCAUGGUGGCACACGCCUGUAAUCCCAGCUACUCAGGAGGCUGAGGCAGGAGAAUCACUUGAACCCGGCAGAGAUUGCAGUGAGCUGAGAUCACGCCAUUGCACUCCAGCCUGGGCAACAAGAGAGAAACUCCAUCUCAAAAAAAAAAAAAAAAAAGGAAAAGAAACAACUGAAACUCCCUCUGCUUAUGAGAUCAAAAGAACUGGCUAACACUGGUUGGAACCAACAUGGACAACUGGAGUCUGCGCAGGAUGAACUUGCUGAUGGCACCGACUGAAUUUCCACUGCAUGUUUCAUACUAACUCCCCUUGAAUUUGCACAUGCGACCCAUGAGAUCCCAGGAAGAGAUAACUGCGCAUGCCCAGGGACUUUCCAGAUCUCCCCUUUCCUUUCACCAAUGAUCUGCUCAUCUCAGAAUCCACCCCCUGAACCUUUUCUAAUAAAAAUACUGCUUUGAAGCCAAGACGAGGAGACAGAUUUGAGCUUCACACUCAUGUCUGCUUGUGAGUCAACUUGCAAUAAAAGCCUUUCUUUUCUCAAAACCUGGCACAUUGAGCAGACAGCCCCCUUUGGCUCAUAACAAUUGUAUAUGAGAAUGAUGCAGCUGCCCCGGGGAAGAGAGAAGAAACUGCUAAUUUCCCACCAGUAUCCAUUCCUUCCUUGUUUUGUUAGUAUGCCUGAGUUUUGGUUGGG